CUGUAAACUGGUCUUGGAGCACAACCUCAAGCUGCGGUAGAUUGGAUUUGCUUGCAUAGAUUACUGUGUACAUUUGAGGAUUUGCAGACAUUAGGCAGAUCAUUUAUAAACAAUGUAACUAGUAGGGGGCCGAGAAUGGAACCUUGGGGAACACCACACGUGACUGGGAGAGGGAGGGAGUCGAUGUCAGAAAAGGACACAUAUAGCGAGCGAUCCGUUACAUACGAUCGAAACCAGGUUAGCAAACGAUCACCAAUACCUGAGUUUUUGCA